rnacentral:rRNA from 1 species
UGUUCUUUAAAUGGGGACUCGUAUCAACGGCAUCACGAGGGUUGCACUGUCUCCCUUCUCCAAUCAGUGAAACUGAUCUCCCCGUGAAGAAGCGGGGAUUCAAUUAUAAGACGAGAAGACCCCAUGGAGCUUAAAAUCUUACAGCAACUCUGUCAUAUAACCCCUCAUAAUUAACAGAAUCAUGCACCCCGAUUUUAGGUUGGGGCGACCGCGGAGCAAAAAUUACCCUCCACGACGAAAAGAGCUAAAUCUUUAUCCAAGAGCCACCUCUCUAAGAAUUAGUAUACUAACGGACAAUGACCCGAUUAUCGAUCAACGAACCAAGUUACCCUGGGGAUAACAGCGCAAUCUACUUCAAGAGCUCAUAUCGACAAGUAGGCUUACGACCUCGAUGUUGGAUCAGGAUAUCCCAGUGGUGCAGCCGCUACUAAUGGUUCGUUUGUUCAACGAUUAAAAC